rnacentral:rRNA from 1 species
UACGGAGGGUGCAAGCGUUGUUCGGAAUCACUGGGCGUAAAGGGUGCGUAGGCGGUCGCGCAAGUCGGAUGUGAAAUCUCAGGGCUCAACCCUGAAACUGCAUUCGAUACUGCGUGGCUAGAGUGCUGGAGGGGAGACUGGAAUUUACGGUGUAGCAGUGAAAUGCGUAGAUAUCGUAAGGAAGACCAGUGGCGAAGGCGAGUCUCUGGACAGCAACUGACGCUGAGGCACGAAGGCCAGGGGAGCAAACGGG